CGUGUAUUUGAGCGUUGCACAACGGCCACAAAAUCGAAGAUAAUCCAAACCAGAAAUGGCUAUGUGCUCUUUACUCGCGGCUAUGUCUCCUUACGCAGUUCCCAAACUGAGCUCAAAGCUGUAGGAAUCUAGGGCGAUGGUUUCUCGGAGUACUUAGACACGUAGGACCUCUUAAUUGUACAGAAACUUGAGGAAGAGAAGGUUGAGUGCUUGGUUGAAUGUAGCCAGGUUCGCGGAGAUUGAGCCCCAUCUCCGCGAAGACCACCAUGACCGUUGGGAGACUAACAAUAUCAGCAUGGAUGAUUUUAAGGUCGGGGAGUAUGAUGAGCACCACACUUACAACGAAGGCGAAUAGAAGAAAGCUUUUGGGGAUCAAUAGCAGAAGACAUUGAAGCAGUUGGAACCCCUACAGGUUUUCAGGGUCUUAUAUCAUGGUUUUUUUUUUCUCCCAGCAGCAAUUGCUGCUGGAAUGUAUUUCAACGCUCC